CCUACCAUGGUGAGGCUGGGAUGUGCGGAUGAGAGAUUCGAAAGGAAGUUGAGAAGCACAUCGAGACUUUAAGAUUGAGAACUUGGGGUUUCGCGUUAAAGAAUUUUCUCGCCCAAAUCUAAAUUAAACAUGGAGUGAAUUAAAACUUGAUGGAUUUCUGAUUAAUUUUGGCUUGUUUUAAUUGGGAAUGUGUAUAAAUAAAGUAAGUGGAUGAGGGGGAGAUGAUGGGUCGAGUUGCGGGGGUGGUAAAAGUGGAUCAUACUCCUACACCGAAACCAUCCUAGUAAACUAUUCCAAGUAAUCCAACACCAAAGACAAUGGUGUCCAUAGUUAUGGUUAUAUAUCUAGUUGUGCAUGUAUAUUCAUUGAUUCAACACUUCUGCGAACAGCUAUCCACACAAGCCAAACCUGUUUAAUCGAUGCAUACACACAAACAUAUGUAUCUCACCUUCCUCGUUCUACAUCUCCGACAGCUGAAUACACAUACACGCGUUUAAUAUCAAAAUAUUUUCAAAAUGUCAGCAAAUCGACGCAAUCUAAAUCCUAAAUUACAAACAUCUAAGCAAACUUCUGCUACAAGCUUGGUCGUCGCCAAGUUGCCAAAAGUCCAAGCGCAACCACUCCCACCCAUUAUAAUCAGAACUUUGGCCCACAUCGAUUCUCAAUCCGCUUACUCGUCUCACCUCGACAGUUUGCUCCCUUGUGGAAACUGUGGCAGGAAAUUUUUCCCCGAUCGCGUAUCCAGACAUGAACUGAAUUGCAAUGCGGACCCUUUAAUCAGCAACCCAGCGAUCAGGAAAUAACAGGAAGUUGCAAAAAGUUUUUGCAGAAAUAUGUAUGUACAAGGCAAAAAAUAACAAGUUGAAAAGACACGGAAAUAAUUUUAGGUUGCCAUUUCAUCCAUGCUGAUUAAAGGCAAUAAAAAUUCGUGCCCAUUUUCUAUUAUUAACUUUACGAGUUUUUGACAGAAUCACAAAAUGCUGUUAGUGGAACAUUAGAUAUUGUUGUUGGCAAAGGGUUUUAUGACGUCAAUUGUCGCGGUGAACAUUACAUUAGAGCCGGGUCUCGAUAAAAGAACAAACAAAUCAUAACAAUAAAAAUAAGCAUGAGUCCACAAUUGUAAGUAUGCGAGUAUUAAUAGCGGUUUUAUGGACAAGUCGUGUUCCUUUGUUGUUAUCCGAAGUUAUUAUUUCUGGAGUAGUUUUUACGACAAUUUUGUGAAUUAAUCAAAGAAUAAAGAAAUUAUUAAGUAAAUGUGUA